rnacentral:rRNA from 1 species
GACGGAGGAUGCAAGCGUUAUCCGGAAUCAUUGGGCGUAAAGCGUCCGCAGGUGGCAGUUCAAGUCUGCUGUCAAAGACCGGGGCUUAACUUCGGAAAGGCAGUGGAAACUGAACAGCUAGAGUAUGGUAGGGGCAGAGGGAAUUCUUGGUGUAGCGGUGAAAUGCGUAGAGAUCAGGAAGAACAUCGGUGGCGAAGGCGCUCUGCUGGACCAUAACUGACACUCAGGGACGAAAGCUAGGGGAGCGAACAGG